UAUAAUAUAAAAUAUAAUAUAAUAGAUAUAUUUUAGUAUUUCUAUUAUUUCAGUUUACAAUGUUUAUUUUUAUUUUUAUUUUUGUAUUUAUAUUGUUUUUUUUUAAAGAAAAACAAUUUACCCUUCCGCAACCGUUUGCAACCGCAAACGCUAGUUGAAACCAGCUUUUGAAUUUAAGAGGUUAAGAAGGAUUUAAAAUGGUAGAACGGUUUGAGUGAUUGUUGCAAAACACCAACAACCGUUACAAACCGCAAAAAUUGCGUUUACGGGUGGUAGCGGAGAAAUCAGUCAUCUCCUAAGUUGUCUCUGCCCACUUAAAAUCAGGUAUAGUUAAAUAAUAUACAUAUAUGCCUUUUGAGAACAUUAAAAAAAAUACCAAAAGUUGAGUUUGCCCAGUAAGAAAAGAGUUGCAGCUGUAAUUUCGGUUGGAAUAAACUAUUUACAAUGCUUAAAUUUUCGGCAAACAUAUGAAAUUACUUCUUUUCAUUAAAAAAGGAAUAUUAAAAAGAUCAUUAUCCGACUUGUGAUCAUUCUGAAAAUAAGAGGAACAAAUAGGAAAGGAACGAAGAGAAAUAAAAUGGUAGAAAUAAAAAAAAAUGAUUGUUUUAUCCCAUAUUUAACAAGGAAUAACUUUAUUCUUUAUUUCUCUACAAAAAAAAGAAUGGUAAAAAAUAAUAAGAAAAAAUUAUUUCUUAUAAAUAGUAAUUUUUUUAAGAAUAUUAGAGAAUGCAUUAUUCCUCGUUAUUCCUUGGCAUGUCUCGGUUCGUUUCCAAAAAGUACGACGUACUUUAAUUUUUCAUUUUGACUUUGCACUGAUGUAAGUUAUCUUUUACCUUCGAUUCCUCUCUUCACAUUAUUAUUAUUUUUUCCGCAUUAUAUAUUCGUAAUCUUUCUUUAUCUUAUAAUCUUUCAUUGUUGUUAAAGUAAUACGGAAACAUAAAUAUUUGUAUGCUUUAAGAAAAAUAUAUAUGAAUGCAUGAACAUAGUGUGGUCGGAAGGUAUCAACAAACAACUGCAACUUUUAAAUGGAAACACAACAAACAGAUUUAUCGACGGUUUAGAAACAAUUGACUCCUUCGUAACUUACAUAGAAACGUAUACCUUAAACAGUCAUUAAACAUUUAACUUGGUGCAUUUUUUUGGUAAAAUUAACUUAGUGGAUUUACUUUUUGGUCCUCAAGCUUCUCACUCAAGUCAUCACUUACAACUUUUGGCCUGAACGAUGUCUCCUUAAACCAAGAAGACUUCUUUAGGGUGGUUGACCGGGGGCUACGCAUUAGACUGCUGUCCCCCUUUUCUAGUGUCUGCUACCUUUCCUUCUUUGUUCGAAUUGUAUUUUUGGUUCUUUUUUCAUUUUAGUUAAUGCUCCAAAUCCUCUUUUAUUUUCUGUUUGUAAUAAAUUAUACUCCACAACAUUGUAAAUUUUUUUUUUGAAGUGAUAUAAAUUCUAACAUUUAGAUCAAAAAAAAACUUAGCAGAUUACUCGGUCAAGAACAUAUCUUAUUCCGACCGUCCCUUAUAAAACAUAAUUUUCAUAAUAAUCACUCAAUUAUUAGUGUAAGAUAUACACCAAAUACAUGUAGUUUUCAAAGAUGUAUUUACUAUUUAAACAGGAAAUCCAUGUCCUCGUAGUAAUGACUAAUGAGCCAAAAUACCCAUCCGUUUCAUUAAAACAGAAGUUUUAGAUAAAAAAUUUAUUUAACAAAAAUUUUUUUUUUUAUGUUUUCUAUAAAAAAUUGCAAAUUUCAAUAAAAUUAGUUAGAUUUAUUGAAAAACUAUUGGUUAAAAACAUUAAAAUUUGAUAAUUUCAAAAAACAAUGCAUAAUUAAUGUAUUUUCUUAAUAUAUGUGAAAACACCAAAACAUUCAAGAAAUGAGGAGUAUUGUUUUGUCCCCAAAAUUUAAAACAAUUUUUCUUUUUUUUCGUUAUGUAAUUGGGUCCCUUUAGAAUUUGACAUUUUAUUAUUAUGAGUGAGCUUAUGCCGCUCAUCGGUCAUCAUCCAGUUAAUAGUUUCCGUUUUCUUCUUCGUUUUUAAAUACUGACUGCGACUAGAGCCUAGAGACACCUAAUUUAUUGAAUAACUCAACUAUGGUUACUUUAACUGGAUGUGUAUCGUUUUAUUUAGUGUCCAAUUUGAGUUCGAAACUGGUUAGUCCAGCUAUUUCAAUACUUCAACAUGUGAUUAACUUCUUUUUUUUUGAUAAUCCCUGCAAUGUAAACUGUAUUUAGAUAAACUUUGUUUCAUUAUUGAGAGGUUUGAGCUCGAAUAUGAAUACUUGAUUCUACUAUAUAGUAACAAUACUUCUCGAUCGGAAAAUUUAUCUUGAUUUUAUAUUUACAAAUAAAAAAGUUUACAUUUAAAAAAGUAAACCUAUUGCAGGUCAUGUGGUAAGCAACACUUGCUGUAUUUCAAAAUUUUAAUCUCGCAGAUACAAUCAUAUCAAUAUACAUCUUAAUAAUCUUAGUAUCAAACGUAUGUUAAUUCACUUUUCAAAGGCACAUGUUUAGUUUUCAUAAAAAUGUUUAUAAACUUCUUAAAAUCUAACAAUACUAAAAGCAGGAUAUCAAGCAUUCUAAACGCAUCCACGUCACCUUAAAAAAUUAACCAAUCAUAACAUUUUAUUUUGACACGUCAUCGUGGACUGUUAAAAUUAUAAUUUGGCCCACCAAACCUAUGUCGACAAAUCCUGUUUCGUAAUCCUGACUUUUCCACUCCGUCUUCUCCAAUCUCCUUUUUCUGCUCAAUCAAUGACAAUCUUUAUACUCAUUUUGGAUGUUUUGUUCCACCUCUCCUUGAUCCUCUUCCUAUAUAUAGUGGUACGUCUAAACCUAAAUACAUCCAGAAUCAAAAAACCUAACGAGAAUCGUAAGAGGGAUGGCUCCGGCUGAGACCACUGUCGUACCGCUCCGGCUCCACUUUCAGGAGCUAUUUAUUACGGCAUUCAACAAAAUUUUCCCACUACUUGAUCUUCGAUUCAACUUCCCUAGCUUCUACACCACUUUCACAAGGUGUAUAUAUACACCAACAACGAGUCAUCCCAUUCCCCACAUAUUUUUGUCUCGCACUUUCACUUUUGUCCAUUAAAGGAUCAACUAUCCCCAGAGAUUAAAAAUCUCAGAGCUUCACAAAUCUAUCAAGAGUUAAGAUUUCAUCAAUGGAAGAAGUAUCUCCGGCGGUUGCUUUGCUUUCCCAGAAACCCAUAUGGAAUUCGCAGGGAUCAUGGGAAUCAUGUUGGGUAAAGGCUACUGCUACAUCCAAUACUCAACUAAAGAUUCCCACAGCUUCGAUUCGUUUCCGUAAACUUCGUGUUCUGUUUCUGGGUCUCAUGUAGCUCAAUAUAUAAAAGUUUUGUUCUCUCGGAUCAAUUCACCCAACUUAAUCAUCAUCAUCAGAGAUAGUCGCUGAUAUCGCUACCGGAUAAGAGAUUAACGGCUCAGACGAGAGAACGACGUUUGAGAAGAAUAUGAUCAGCGAACAGAGAGCAGGAGUCUGUUUGACUUCAAGAGUGUGCCUUUGAAGGGUGUGACAUCGAUCAGUGGAAGAUGAUGUCUCCGAUAUACCCAGAAUCCUUCAGUCUCCAACUAAUUCGUUAAUACAUGGUCGUUUCAAUCCUCAAUCAACUGCUCAUUUCUUCGGUGUCUUCAACAGACCUGGAGGAUCACAGGACGAACUAAUGCAGAGAGAGGAAAAGCUAGGAAUAAGUACAUUAAGGAGAGUUUUGACAUUGGGGUCCAUGUCCAGAGAUCAGAAACUAAUACAUGGACUUUAACAAUACAUAUAUUUCAGGGAAGCGAGCCCGGCAAGUUAGGAAGCGUUUGCGACAAAAAGCAACAAACACGAGUCACCAAGGCAUGUUUCUUAUGGAAUACUUCUUCAAAACCAUUUGAGAACAACCAUAAUCCCUGCACUGCGUCACUAUUUGUUUUUCUGUUAAGCAGCAGUGUAGUCUCAUUCUCUCUUCCUUCAUGUCUUCAUCUUUGCUUGCUUCAGCUCUUCUUCUCCAUUUGCUGCUGCUACUUUGUAUUUGCAUAUCAAGAAAAAAAGCAAUCUCCAAAUC